UACAGAGGUCUCAAGCGUUGUUCGGAUUCAUUGGGCGUAAAGGGUGCGUAGGCGGCGCGGUAAGUCAGGGGUGAAAUCCUGGAGCUCAACUCCAGAACUGCCUUUGAUACUGGCGAUCUUGAGUCCGGGAGAGGUGAGUGGAACUGCGAGUGUAGAGGUGAAAUUCGUAGAUAUUCGCAAGAACACCAGUGGCGAAGGCGGCUCACUGGCCCGGUACUGACGCUGAGGUGCGAAAGCGUGGGGAGCGAACAGG
rnacentral:rRNA from 1 species